CCGACAGUCCCGCUAUCCAACCUAUGCCACCGGAUACGAUGGCCUGCUGGUCGAAGCGCCGGCCGGUUCGCUGGACGACGCCGAGCCCGAAGCACGCAUCCGCUCCGAAGCGGAAGAAGAGAUCGGCUAUCGCCUUGGCCCCAUCAAGAAAAUCUUCGAAGCCUUCCCCAGUCCGGGCGCGGUCACCGAAAAACUCCAUUUCUUCAUCGCCGAAUAUCAGCCCGACAUGAAGAUCGGAAGCGGCGGGGGGCCUGCCCNNNNNNNAGAUAUAGAGACGCUGGAACUACCGAUCGCCGAGGCGCUCGCGAUGAUCGCGGACGGCCGCAUUGUCGACGCCAAGACCAUCAUGCUGCUGCAAUACGCGGCGCUGAACAUUUUCCCCGACGUGACAGUCGCGAAACAGCCCUAGAAC
rnacentral:misc_RNA from 1 species